rnacentral:rRNA from 1 species
GGCCUGGUCGGGCGGUCCGCCUUCUGGUGAGCACUGUCCUUGUACCGGGUCUCUUCUUCUGGUGAACUAGUGUGUUCUUUAUUGGGUGCGCUAGGGAAUCAGGACUAUUACCUUGAAAAAAUUAGAGUGUUUAAAGCAGGCUCACGCUUGAAUACAUUAGCAUGGAAUAAUGAAAUAGGACGUUGAUCUUAUUUUGUUGGUUUCUAGGAUUGACGUA